rnacentral:rRNA from 1 species
GUGCCAGCAGCCGCGGUAAUACGUAGGUGGCAAGCGUUGUCCGGAUUUAUUGGGCGUAAAGCGAGCGCAGGCGGUUUCUUAAGUCUGAUGUGAAAGCCUUCGGCUCAACCGAAGAAGUGCAUCGGAAACUGGGAAACUUGAGUGCAGAAGAGGACAGUGGAACUCCAUGUGUAGCGGUGAAAUGCGUAGAUAUAUGGAAGAACACCAGUGGCGAAGGCGGCUGUCUGGUCUGUAACUGACGCUGAGGCUCGAAAGCAUGGGUAGCAAACAGGAUUAGAUACCCUGGUUAGUCCAUGCCGUAAACGAUGAGUGCUAGGUGUUGGAGGGUUUCCGCCCUUCAGUGCCGCAGCUAACGCAUUAAGCACUCCGCCUGGGGAGUACGACCGCAAGGUUGAAACUCAAAGGAAUUGACGGGGGCCCGCACAAGCGGUGGAGCAUGUGGUUUAAUUCGAAGCAACGCGAAGAACCUUACCAGGUCUUGACAUCCUUUGACCACUCUAGAGAUAGAGCUUUCCCUUCGGGGACAAAGUGACAGGUGGUGCAUGGUUGUCGUCAGCUCGUGUCGUGAGAUGUUGGGUUAAGUCCCGCAACGAGCGCAACCCUUAUUACUAGUUGCCAGCAUUUAGUUGGGCACUCUAGUGAGACUGCCGGUGACAAACCGGAGGAAGGUGGGGACGACGUCAAAUCAUCAUGCCCCUUAUGACCUGGGCUACACACGUGCUACAAUGGAUGGUACAACGAGUUGCGAGACCGCGAGGUUUAGCUAAUCUCUUAAAACCAUUCUCAGUUCGGAUUGUAGGCUGCAACUCGCCUACAUGAAGCCGGAAUCGCUAGUAAUCGCGGAUCAGCAUGCCGCGGUGAAUACGUUCCCGGGCCUUGUACACACCGCCCGU